AAUUAACUAAGAUUAAUAGCUCAUAUAAUUUUGGCGAUAGGGGUCAUAAGUUUCUACCAAGAUACCGUAAACAUCUUGACUAUGAGUAUAUAUAAUUGAAGA
rnacentral:ncRNA from 1 species